rnacentral:rRNA from 1 species
UACAGAGGUCCCAAGCGUUGUUCGGAUUCACUGGGCGUAAAGGGUGCGUAGGUGGCGAGGUAAGUUUGAUGUGAAAGCUCCGGGCUCAACCCGGAAAUGGCAUUGAAUACUCUCUCGCUAGAGGAUUGGAGGGGAGUCUGGAAUUCUCGGUGUAGCAGUGAAAUGCGUAGAUAUCGAGAGGAACACCAGUGGCGAAGGCGAGACUCUGGACAAUUCCUGACACUGAGGCACGAAAGCAGGGGGGGCAAACGGGAUUAGAUACCCCGGUAGUCCGGCCCCUAAGCGGUGCACGUUUGCGGAGGGGGAAACCGACCCCGCCUGUGGCGUAGCUAACGCGAUAAACGUGCCGCCUGGGGAGUACGGUCGCAAGAUUA